GGGGGUGUACCGGUUUCGACGGGGAUUGUGAAGUGCGAUAAGCGGGCCGGGCCGGGUAACCCCGUCAAAAUGCCCAACCUUAAAAAUUAAACGACAACAAUUCUGUUGCUCUGGCUGCCUAAUUGGCAGUGCCGCGGCUCAUAAUGCCGCCCGUUCCCCCCGGGAGUACCGCGACCCGAGGCUGAACGUCAUGUAGCGGUGCCCGUGCAUCGGUGGUUCGCCA
rnacentral:tmRNA from 1 species